AUCAGAGAGGGAGAGAAACAGUAUGAGGGAAUGAGUGAGAGGUGUAGAGAGAAAACUACACUAAAUGAUUUAGAGAGAAUAAAUGAAUGAUAUGGAAAGACUAUGUCCUGCAGUGAGUGUGUGUCAGUCAGUCAAUCAGCCAGCCUCCUGCCUGGUGGCCUGCUUUCCCCAGUCAGUCACAUGGUAGAGGUCUGGAGGAGUGACUGAAGUCUUUCCCCAGUCAGUCACAUGGUAGAGGUCUGGAGGAGUGACUGAAGUCUUUCCCUGGUCAGUUACAUGGUAGAGGUCUGGAGGAGUGACUGAAGUCUUUCCCUGGUCAGUUACAUGGUAGAGGUCUGGAGGAGUGACUGAAGUCUUUCCCUGGUCAGUUACAUGGUAGAGGUCUGGAGGAGUGACUGAAGUCUUUCCCUGGUCAGUUACAUGGUAGAGGUCUGGAGGAGUGACUGAAGUCUUUCCCUGGUCAGUUACAUGGUAGAGGUCUGGAGGAGUGACUGAAGUCUUUCCCUGGUCAGUUACAUGGUAGAGGUCUGGAGGAGUGACUGAAGUCUUUCCCUGGUCAGUUACAUGGUAGAGGUCUGGAGGAGUGACUGAAGUCUUUCCCUGGUCAGUUACAUGGUAGAGGUCUGGAGGAGUGACUGAAGUCUUUCCCUGGUCAGUUACAUGGUAGAGGUCUGGAGGAGUGACUGAAGUCUUUCCCUGGUCAGUUACAUGGUAGAGGUCUGGAGGAGUGACUGAAGUCUUUCCCUGGUCAGUUACAUGGUAGAGGUCUGGAGGAGUGACUGAAGUCUUUCCCUGGUCAGUUACAUGGUAGAGGUCUGGAGGAGUGACUGAAGUCUUUCCCUGGUCAGUUACAUGGUAGAGGUCUGGAGGAGUGACUGAAGUCUUUCCCUGGUCAGUUACAUGGUAGAGGUCUGGAGGAGUGACUGAAGUCUUUCCCCGGUCAGUUACAUGGUAGAGGUCUGGAGGAGUGACUGAAGGCUGAAGGCCUGAUAAGGGUCGAACGAAAUAAGUUUUUCUAGCAGCUCUGGCACAAGGUAGAAACCAGUAAACAGGAACAACACUACAGGAGACAGGAAACAGGAACAACACUACAGGAGACAGGAACAACACUACAGGAGACAGGAAACAGGAGCAACACUACAGGAGACAGGAAACAGGAACAACACUACAGGAGACAGGAAACAGGAACAACACUACAGGAGACAGGAAACAGGAACAACACUACAGGAGACAGGAAACAGGAACAACACUACAGGAGACAGGAAACAGGAGCAACACUACAGGAGACAGGAAACAGGAGCAACACUACAGGAGACAGGAAACAGGAGCAACACUACAGGAGACAGGAAACAGGAACAACACUACAGGAGACAGGAAACAGGAGCAACACUACAGGAGACAGGAAACAGGAACAACACUACAGGAGACAGGAAACAGGAGCAACACUACAGGAGACAGGAAACAGGAGCAACACUACAGGAGACAGGAGCAACACUACAGGAGACAGGAACAACACUACAGGAGACAGGAAACAGGAACACUACAGGAGACAGGAAACAGGAACAACACUACAGGAGACAGGAACAACACUACAGGAGACAGGAAACAGGAACAACACUACAGGAGACAGGAAACAGGAACAACACUACAGGAGACAGGAAACAGGAGCAACACUACAGGAGACAGGAAACAGGAGCAACACUACAGGAGACAGGAAACAGGAGCAACACUACAGGAGACAGGAAACAGGAACAACACUACAGGAGACAGGAAACAGGAACAAUACUACAGGAGACAGGAAACAGGAGCAACACUACAGGAGACAGGAACAACACUACAGGAGACAGGAAACAGGAGCAACACUACAGGAGACAGGAAACAGGAACAACACUACAGGAGACAGGAACAACACUACAGGAGACAGGAAACAGGAACAACACUACAGGAGACAGGAAACAGGAGCAACACUACAGGAGACAGGAAACAGGAGCAACACUACAGGAGACAGGAAACAGGAGCAACACUACAGGAGACAGGAAACAGGAGCAACACUACAGGAGACAGGAAACAGGAACAACACUACAGGAGACAGGAACAACACUACAGGAGACAGGAAACAGGAACAACACUACAGGAGACAGGAAACAGGAGCAACACUACAGGAGACAGGAAACAGGAGCAACACUACAGGAGACAGGAGCAACACUACAGGAGACAGGAAACAGGAACAACACUACAGGAGACAGGAAACAGGAACAACACUACAGGAGACAGGAAACAGGAGCAACACUACAGGAGACAGGAAACAGGAGCAACACUACAGGAGACAGGAAACAGGAACAACACUACAGGAGACAGGAACAACACUACAGGAGACAGGAAACAGGAACAACACUACAGGAGACAGGAAACAGGAACAACACUACAGGAGACAGGAAACAGGAGCAACACUACAGGAGACAGGAAACAGGAGCAACACUACAGGAGAUAGGAAACAGGAACAACACUACAGGAGACAGGAAACAGGAGCAACACUACAGGAGACAGGAAACAGGAACAACACUACAGGAGACAGGAAACAGGAACAACACUACAGGAGACAGGAAACAGGAACACUACAGGAGACAGGAAACAGGAACAACACUACAGGAGACAGGACACUUCGGUAGGUCUAUAUAGGCUGCUACAACACCGUACUGCACUGUUGUGUGUGUGUGUGUACACACACGUUGACGCCACAACCAACUACAAGUCAAGAUAGAUAACAUACUAAACUCAUACAGCACGUACACACUAUUCAUUCUACUCUUUCACUCGCUUUUUUGAGUCAAACGGAGAGGACAAACUGAAUUAGCUGUUCAAAUAUUGACGGGGAGAAAUUGGUGGUCUCGCACUGCUGUCAGUGAGAGGGGCUCCUAAACAUACUUGGUCAGGUUUAGAGGUCUGCAUUGAUUUAUUUUAGUUUUUUGUUUGUUUAAAUAUCGUAAAAAUAAAUGUAUGCUCUGGUCAGGCUUUAGUUCCCCUUUGGGCACAGAGCAACCAAUGUGUGGAGGAGCAGCGGCUCCAUAGAAAAGGAGCAGAGCCACCCUUCUCUCCUCCUCACCCUUCUCUCCUCACUCUCCUCCUCACCCUUCUCUCCUCCUCACCCUUCUCUCCUCCUCACUCUCCUCCUCACCCUUCUCUCCUCCUCCCCCUUCUCUCCUCCUCACCCUUCU